rnacentral:tRNA from 1 species
CGCGGCGUGGAGCAGUGGUAGCUCGUCAGGCUCAUAUCCUGAAGGUCGCAGGUUCGAAUCCUGCCGCCGCUA